rnacentral:rRNA from 1 species
GACGGAGGGUGCAAGCGUUGUUCGGAAUUACUGGGCGUAAAGCGUACGUAGGCGGCGGAUUAAGUCGAAUGUUAAAGCCUGGGGCUCAACCCCAGAGAUGCACUCGAUACUGGUCUGCUAGAGGGUGAUAGAGGAAAGCGGAAUUCCCAGUGUAGCGGUGAAAUGCGUAGAUAUUGGGAGGAACAUCAGUAGCGAAGGCGGCUUUCUGGGUCACACCUGACGCUGAGGUACGAAAGCGUGGGGAGCAAAC